rnacentral:rRNA from 1 species
CCUACGGGGGGCAGCAGUAGGGAAUCUUUCACAAUGGGCGAAAGCCUGAUGGAGCAACGCCGCGUGCAGGAUGAAGGCCUUCGGGUUGUAAACUGCUUUUAUAAGCGAGAAAUAUGAUGGUAACUUAUGAAUAAGGAUCGGCUAACUACGUGCCAGCAGCCGCGGUCAUACGUAGGAUCCGAGCAUUAUCCGGAGUGACUGGGGGUAAAGAGUUGCGUAGGUGGCAUAAUAAGUAGCUAGUGAAAUCUGGUGGCUCAACCAUUCAGACUAUUAGCUAAACUGUUAAGCUCGAGACCGUUAGGGGUAACUGGAAUGUCUAGUGUAGGAGUGAAAUCCGUAGAUAUUAGAAGGAACACCAAUAGCGUAGGCAGGUUGCUGGGACGGUUCUGACACUAAGGCACGAAAGCGUAGGGAGCAAACGGGAUUAGAUACCCUUGUAGUC